AUUGAACGCUGGCGGCAGGCCUAACACAUGCAAGUCGAACGGUAACAGGAAACAGCUUGCUGUUUCGCUGACGAGUGGCGGACGGGUGAGUAAUGUCUGGGAAACUGCCUGAUGGAGGGGGAUAACUACUGGAAACGGUAGCUAAUACCGCAUAACGUCGCAAGACCAAAGAGGGGGACCUUCGGGCCUCUUGCCAUCGGAUGUGCCCAGAUGGGAUUAGCUAGUAGGUGGGGUAACGGCUCACCUAGGCGACGAUCCCUAGCUGGUCUGAGAGGAUGACCAGCCACACUGGAACUGAGACACGGUCCAGACUCCUACGGGAGGCAGCAGUGGGGAAUAUUGCACAAUGGGCGCAAGCCUGAUGCAGCCAUGCCGCGUGUAUGAAGAAGGCCUUCGGGUUGUAAAGUACCUUCAGCGGGGAGGAAGGGAGUAAAGUUAAUACCUGUACUCAUUGACGUUACCCGCAGAAGAAGCACCGGCUAACUCCGUG
rnacentral:rRNA from 1 species